rnacentral:rRNA from 1 species
CUUGAACCAAGAGUGACGGGCGAUUUGUGCAUAUUAAAAGUUAAGUUUUCUAUAUUAAUUUUUUUUUUAAUUUUUAAUUUUAAGUUCUUUUUAUUUUGUAUCCUUUUAUAUAAUUUUAAUUUUAUUUUUUUGAAUUUCAUAUCUAUCAAAUUUAUUUCCUCUGUCUUGAUUUGUUUUUGUUAAUAAUUUUAUUUUUACUAAAAUUUUUUUAUUUUAAUUUUAACAAACAAUGAUAUAGAAAGUUAUAAAAUUAGCUUUUUUUUAUCGUGGGUUAUCUAUUAUUGUACAAAAUUCCCUAAGCAUAUUAAUACCGCCAUUUCAAUUAGAUUUUAAUUAAUUAUUUACUAUCUAUUUUUUAAUAUAAAA